rnacentral:rRNA from 1 species
AACGAACGCUGGCGGCAUGCCUAACACAUGCCAGUCGAACGAAGGCUUCGGCCUUAGUGGCGCACGGGUGCGUAACGCGUGGGAAGCUGCCCUUGGGUUCGGAAUAACAGCUGGAAACGGCUGCUAAUACCGGUGGAUGACGAAAGUCCAAAGAUUUAUGGCCAUAGGAUGAGCCCGCGUUGGAUUAGGUAGUUGGUGGGGUAAAGGCCUACCAAGCCGAGGAUCCUUAGCUGGUCUGAGAGGAUGACCAGCCACACUGGGGCUGCGACACAGCCCAGACCCCUACGCGAGGGUGGAGUAGGUAAUAUUGGGCGAGGGGCGCAAGCCUGAUACAGCAGUGCCGCGUGAGUGAUGAAGGCCGUAGGGUUGUAAAGCUCUUUUACCCGGGAAGAUAAUGACUGUACCGGGAGAAUAAGCCCCGGCUAACUACGUG